UAGAAGAGUGUCCUGCCUUCCGUUCGAGAUAUAUCGAACUCCAAAAGGCGGAAAGGAAUACGAUAAGGUCCACGUUAAUAGAAUUAAAUGUACAUUAAGAAACAAGCAAUUAGAAGAGUGUCCUGCCUCCCGUUCGAGAUAUAUCGAACUCCAGAAGGCGGAAAGGAAUACAAUAAGGUCCACGUUAAUAGAAUUAAAUGUACAUUAAGAAACAAGCAAUUAGAAGAGUCUCCUGCUUUCCGUUCGAGAUAUAUCGAACUCCAGAAGACGGAAAGGAAUACAAUAAGGUCCACGUUAAUAGAAUUAAAUGUACAUUAAGAAACAAGCAAUUAGAAGAGUGUCCUGCCUCCCGUUCGAGAUAUAUCGAACUCCAGAAGACGGAAAGGAAUACUAUAAGGUCCUAGUUAAUAGAAUUAAAUGUACAUUAAGAAACAAGCAAUUAGAAGAGUGUCCUGCCUCCCGUUCGAGAUAUAUCGAACUCUAGAAGGCGGAAAGGAAUACGAUAAGGUCCACGUUAAUAGAAUUAAAUGUACAUUAAGAAACAAGCAAUUAGAAGAGUGUCCUGCCUCCCGUUCGAGAUAUAUCGAACUCUAGAAGGCGGAAAGGAAUACGAUAAGGUCCACGUUAAUAGAAUUAAAUGUACAUUAAGAAACAUGCAAUUAGAAGAGUGUCCUGCCUUCCGUUCGAGAUAUAUCGAACUCUAGAAGGCGGAGAGGAAUACGAUAAGGUCCACGUUAAUAGAAUUAAAUGUACAUUAAGAAACAUGCAAUUAGAAGAGUGUCCUGCCUCCCGUUCGAGAUAUAUCGAACUCCAGAAGACGGAAAGGAAUACUAUAAUGUCCUAGUUAAUAGAAUUAAAUGUACAGUAAGAAACAAGCAAUUAGAAGAGUGUCCUGCCUCCCGUUCGAGAUAUAUCGAACUCCAGAAGGCGGAAAGGAAUACGAUAAGGUCCACGUUAAUAGAAUUAAAUGUACAUUAAGAAACAAGCAAUUAGAAGAGUGUCCUGCCUCCCGUUCGAGAUAUAUCGAACUCCAGAAGGCGGAAAGGAAUACAAUAAGGUCCACGUUAAUAGAAUUAAAUGUACAUUAAGAAACAAGCAAUUAGAAGAGUGUCCUGCCUUCCGUUCGAGAUAUAUCGAACUCUAGAAGGCGGAAAGGAAUACGAUAAGGUCCACGUUAAUAGAAUUAAAUGUACAUUAAGAAACAAGCAAUUAGAAGAGUGUCCUGCCUCCCGUUCGAGAUAUAUCGAACUCCAGAAGGCGGAAAGGAAUACAAUAAGGUCCACGUUAAUAGAAUUAAAUGUACAUUAAGAAACAAGCAAUUAGAAGAGUCUCCUGCCCUCCGUUCGAGAUAUAUCGAACUCCAGAAGACGGAAAGGAAUACUAUAAGGUCCACGUUAAUAGAAUUAAAUGUACAUUAAGAAACAAGCAAUUAGAAGAGUGUCCUGCCUCCCGUUCGAGAUAUAUCGAACUCCAGAAGGCGGAAAGGAAUAAAAUAAGGUCCACGUUAAUAGAAUUAAAUGUACAUUAAGAAACAAGCAAUUAGAAGAGUGUCCUGCCUCCCGUUCGAGAUAUAUCGAACUCCAGAAGGCGGAAAGGAAUAAAAUAAGGUCCACGUUAAUAGAAUUAAAUGUACAUUAAGAAACAAGCAAUUAGAAGAGUGUCCUGCCUCCCGUUCGAGAUAUAUCGAACUCCAGAAGGCGGAAAGGAAUACGAUAAAGUCCUCGUUAAUAGAAUUAAAUGUACAUUAAGAAACAAGCAAUUAGAAGAGUGUCCUGCCUCCCGUUCGAGAUAUAUCGAACUCUAGAAGGCGGAAAGGAAUACGAUAAGGUCCACGUUAAUAGAAUUAAAUGUACAUUAAGAAACAAGCAAUUAGAAGAGUGUCCUGCCUCCCGUUCGAGAUAUAUCGAACUCUAGAAGGCGGAAAGGAAUACGAUAAGGUCCACGUUAAUAGAAUUAAAUGUACAUUAAGAAACAAGCAAUUAGAAGAGUGUCCUGCCUCCGUUCGAGAUAUAUCGAACUCUAGAAAGCGGAAAGGAAUACUAUAAGGUCCACGUUAAUAGAAUUAAAUGUACAUUAAGAAACAAGCAAUUAGAAGAUUGUCCUGCCUCCCGUUCGAGAUAUAUCGAACUCCAGAAGGCGGAAAGGAAUACGAUAAGGUCCACGUUAAUAGAAUUAAAUGUACAUUAAGAAACAAGCAAUUAGAAGAGUGUCCUGCCUCCCGUUCGAGAUAUAUCGAACUCUAGAAAGCGGAAAGGAAUACUAUAAGGUCCACGUUAAUAGAAUUAAAUGUACAUUAAGAAACAAGCUAUUAGAAGAGUGUCCUGCCUCCCGUUCGAGAUAUAUCGAACUCCAGAAGGCGGAAAGGAAUACGAUAAGGUCCACGUUAAUAGAAUUAAAUGUACAUUAAGAAACAAGCAAUUAGAAGAGUGUCCUGCCUCCCGUUCGAGAUAUAUCGAACUCUAGAAAGCGGAAAGGAAUGCUAUAAGGUCCACGUAAAUAGAAUUAAAUGUACAUUAAGAAACAAGCAAUUAGAAGAGUGUCCUGCCUUCCGUUCGAGAUAUAUCGAACUCUAGAAGGCGGAAAAGAACACGAUAAGGUCCACGUUAACAGAAUUAAAUGUACAUUAAGAAACAAGCAAUUAGAAGAGUGUCCUGCCUCCCGUUCGAGAUAUAUCGAACUCCAAAAGGGGGAAAGGAAUACGAUAAGGUCCACGUUAAUAGAAUUAAAUGUACAUUAAGAAACAAGCAAUUAGAAGAGUGUCCUGCCUCCCGUUCGAGAUAUAUCGAACUCUAGAAAGCGGAAAGGAAUACUAUAAGGUCCACGUUAAUAGAAUUAAAUGUACAUUAAGAAACAAGCAAUUAGAAGAUUGUCCUGCCUCCCGUUCGAGAUAUAUCGAACUCCAGAAGGCGGAAAGGAAUACGAUAAGGUCCACGUUAAUAGAAUUAAAUGUACAUUAAGAAACAAGCAAUUAGAAGAGUGUCCUGCCUCCCGUUCGAGAUAUAUCGAACUCCUGAAGGCGGAAAGGAAUACGAUAAGGUCCACGUUAAUAGAAUUAAAUGUACAUUAAGAAACAAGCAAUUAGAAGAGUGUCCUGCCUCCCGUUCGAGAUAUAUCGAACUCUAGAAAGCGGAAAGGAAUACUAUAAGGUCCACGUUAAUAGAAUUAAAUGUACAUUAAGAAACAAGCAAUUAGAAGAUUGUCCUGCCUCCCGUUCGAGAUAUAUCGAACUCCAGAAGGCGGAAAGGAAUACGAUAAGGUCCACGUUAAUAGAAUUAAAUGUACAUUAAGAAACAAGCAAUUAGAAGAGUGUCCUGCCUCCGUUCGAGAUAUAUCGAACUCUAGAAAGCGGAAAGGAAUACUAUAAGGUCCACGUUAAUAGAAUUAAAUGUACAUUAAGAAACAAGCAAUUAGAAGAUUGUCCUGCCUCCCGUUCGAGAUAUAUCGAACUCCAGAAGGCGGAAAGGAAUACUAUAAGGUCCACGUUAAUAGAAUUAAAUGUACAUUAAGAAACAAGCAAUUAGAAGAGUGUCCUGCCUCCCGUUCGAGAUAUAUCGAACUCCAGAAGGCGGAAAGGAAUAAAAUAAGGUCCACGUUAAUAGAAUUAAAUGUACAUUAAGAAACAAGCAAUUAGAAGAGUGUCCUGCCUCCCGUUCGAGAUAUAUCGAACUCCAGAAGGCGGAAAGGAAUAAAAUAAGGUCCACGUUAAUAGAAUUAAAUGUACAUUAAGAAACAAGCAAUUAGAAGAGUGUCCUGCCUCCCGUUCGAGAUAUAUCGAACUCCAGAAGGCGGAAAGGAAUACGAUAAAGUCCUCGUUAAUAGAAUUAAAUGUACAUUAAGAAACAAGCAAUUAGAAGAGUGUCCUGCCUCCCGUUCGAGAUAUAUCGAACUCUAGAAGGCGGAAAGGAAUACGAUAAGGUCCACGUUAAUAGAAUUAAAUGUACAUUAAGAAACAAGCAAUUAGAAGAGUGUCCUGCCUCCCGUUCGAGAUAUAUCGAACUCUAGAAGGCGGAAAGGAAUACGAUAAGGUCCACGUUAAUAGAAUUAAAUGUACAUUAAGAAACAAGCAAUUAGAAGAGUGUCCUGCCUCCGUUCGAGAUAUAUCGAACUCUAGAAAGCGGAAAGGAAUACUAUAAGGUCCACGUUAAUAGAAUUAAAUGUACAUUAAGAAACAAGCAAUUAGAAGAGUGUCCUGCCUCCCGUUCGAGAUAUAUCGAACUCCAGAAGGCGGAAAGGAAUACGAUAAGGUCCACGUUAAUAGAAUUAAAUGUACAUUAAGAAACAAGCAAUUAGAAGACUGUCCUGCCUCCCGUUGGAGAUAUAUCGAACUCCAGAAGGCGGAAAGGAAUACGAUAAGGUCCACGUUAAUAGAAUUAAAUGUACAUUAAGAAACAAGCAAUUAGAAGAGUGUCCUGCCUCCCGUUCGAGAUAUAUCGAACUCUAGAAAGCGGAAAGGAAUGCUAUAAGGUCCACGUUAAUAGAAUUAAAUGUACAUUAAGAAACAAGCAAUUAGAAGAGUGUCCUGCCUCCCGUUCGAGAUAUAUCGAACUCCAGAAGGCGGAAAGGAACACGAUAAGGUCCACGUUAAUAGAAUUAAAUGUACAUUAAGAAACAAGCAAUUAGAAGAGUGUCCUGCCUCCGUUCGAGAUAUAUCGAACUCUAGAAAGCGGAAAGGAAUACUAUAAGGUCCACGUUAAUAGAAUUAAAUGUACAUUAAGAAACAAGCAAUUAGAAGAUUGUCCUGCCUCCCGUUCGAGAUAUAUCGAACUCCAGAAGGCGGAAAGGAAUACUAUAAGGUCCACGUUAAUAGAAUUAAAUGUACAUUAAGAAACAAGCAAUUAGAAGAUUGUCCUUCCUCCCGUUCGAGAUAUAUCGAACUCCAGAAGGCGGAAAGGAAUACGAUAAGGUCCACGUUAAUAGAAUUAAAUGUACAUUAAGAAACAAGCAAUUAGAAGAGUGUCCUGCCUCCCGUUCGAGAUAUAUCGAACUCUAGAAAGCGGAAAGGAAUACGAUAAGGUCCACGUUAAUAGAAUUAAAUGUACAUUAAGAAACAAGCAAUUAGAAGAGUGUCCUGCCUCCCGUUCGAGAUAUAUCGAACUCUAGAAAGCGGAAAGGAAUACUAUAAGGUCCACGUUAAUAGAAUUAAAUGUACAUUAAGAAACAAGCAAUUAGAAGAGUGUCCUGCCUCCCGUUCGAGAUAUAUCGAACUCCAGAAGGCGGAAAGGAAUACGAUAAGGUCCACGUUAAUAGAAUUAAAUGUACAUUAAGAAACAAGCAAUUAGAAGAGUGUCCUGCCUCCCGUUCGAGAUAUAUCGAACUCUAGAAAGCGGAAAGGAAUACGAUAAGGUCCACGUUAAUAGAAUUAAAUGUACAUUAAGAAACAAGCUAUUAGAAGAGUGUCCUGCCUCCCGUUCGAGAUAUAUCGAACUCUAGAAAGCGGAAAGGAAUACUAUAAGGUCCACGUUAAUAGAAUUAAAUGUACAUUAAGAAACAAGCAAUUAGAAGAGUGUCCUGCCUCCCGUUCGAGAUAUAUCGAACUCUAGAAGGCGGAAAGGAACACGAUAAGGUCCACGUUAAUAGAAUUUAAUGUACAUUAAGAAACGAGCAAUUAGAAGAGUGUCCUGCCUCCCGUUCGAGAUAUAUCGAACUCCAGAAGGCGGAAAGGAAUACGAUAAGGUCCAUGUUAAUAGAAUUAAAUGUACAUUAAGAAACAAGCAAUUAGAAGAGUGUCCUGCCUCCCGUUCGAGAUAUAUCGAACUCUAGAAAGCGGAAAGGAAUACUAUAAGGUCCACGUUAAUAGAAUUAAAUGUACAUUA